AUACGGAGGGUGCAAGCGUUAUCCGGAUUCACUGGGUUUAAAGGGUGCGUAGGUGGGUUGGUAAGUCAGUGGUGAAAUCUCCGAGCUUAACUUGGAAACUGCCAUUGAUACUAUCAGUCUUGAAUAUUGUGGAGGUCAGCGGAAUAUGUCAUGUAGCGGUGAAAUGCUUAGAUAUGACAUAGAACACCAAUUGCGAAGGCAGCUGGCUACGCAUAUAUUGACACUGAGGCACGAAAGCGUGGGGAUCAAACAG
rnacentral:rRNA from 1 species